rnacentral:lncRNA from 1 species
UGAGGGUAAGAUCUUCACGAUCCUAGUUCUCUUUGACCGGAUUUGAUGCUUUCAAAAAGGCUUUCGACUAUCUAUGUGAAAAGAGAAAGUCCAAGCUUUCGACAGUAGGCUUCACCUUGGAAACCCGCUAUUUAGUUGGUGGCAAGACAGCUCUUUAGACCAAUUACUAGAGGUAGCCCCGUGCUUUCUACUCAUGACGUGUCUGUGAGUCUGGAAUAUAAUUCCGUAGAAAGAAAGAAGAAAAGGGGACCUUGCAAAUUAGAGGAGAAUAUGAAAAAGAAAGGGAAUAGAGGGCACCUCCUCAUGUAUCUUUGUCUUGCACCCUAUAAUAGUCUUUAUCAAAUAUAGGUGGGAUUACUCGCCAAAAGCGAAGCCUUGAAUCUCGUACUUUGACUCAGGGUCUGAGUUGAAGGGUUAUACUUCUUCAAAGGGGGUUUCUGCGUCAACUGAAACCUUGGCCGGUGAAUCAGAC